rnacentral:rRNA from 1 species
UACAGAGGGUGCGAGCGUUGUCCGGAAUCACUGGGCGUAAAGGGCGCGUAGGUGGUGGCUUAAGCGUGCGGUGAAAGCUCGGGGCUCAACUCCGAGUCGGCCGUGCGAACUGGGCUCACUGGAGCAUAGUAGAGGCAGGUGGAAUUCCGGGUGUAGCGGUGGAAUGCGUAGAUAUCGGGAGGAACACCUGUGGCGAAAGCGGCGCACUGGACCACUUCUGACGCUGAGGCGCGAAAGCUAGGGAGCAAACAGG